rnacentral:rRNA from 1 species
UAGGGAAUCUUCCACAAUGGACGCAAGUCUGAUGGAGCAACGCCGCGUGAGUGAAGAAGGUUUUCGGACCGUAAAGCUCUGUUGUUGGUGAAGAAGGAUAGAGGUAGUAACUGGCCUUUAUUUGACGGUAAUCAACCAGAAAGUCACGGCUAACUACGUGCCAGCAGCCGCGGUAAUACGUAGGUGGCAAGCGUUGUCCGGAUUUAUUGGGCGUAAAGCGAGCGCAGGCGGAAGAAUAAGUCUGAUGUGAAAGCCCUCGGCUUAACCGAGGAAUUGCAUCGGAAACUGUUUUCUUGAGUGCAGAAGAGGAGAGUAGAACUCCAUGUGUAGCGGUGGAACGCGUAGAUAUAUGGAAGAAUACCAGUGGCGAAGGCGGCUCUCUGGUCUGCAACUGACGCUGAGGCUCGAAAAGCAUGGGUAGCGAACAGGAUUAGAUACCCUGGUAGUCCAUGCCGUAAAACGAUGAGUGCUAAGUGUUGGGAGGCUUCCGCCUCUCAGUGCUGCAGCUAACGCAUUAAGCACUCCGCCUGGGGGAGUACGACCGCAAAGGUUGAAAC